rnacentral:rRNA from 1 species
GAACGGGGAACAGCCCAGAGCCUGAAUCAGCUUGUGUGUCAGUGGAACGGUCUGGAAAGGCCGGCGAUACAGGGUGACAGCCCCGUACACGAAGGCACACAGGCUGUGAGCUCGAUGAGUAGGGCGGGACACGUGAUAUCCUGUCUGAAGAUGGGGGGACCAUCCUCCAAGG